rnacentral:misc_RNA from 1 species
UACGUAGGGGGCAAGCGUUGUCCGGAAUUAUUGGGCGUAAAGCGCGCGCAGGCGGUUCUUUAAGUCUGGUGUUUAAGCCCGUGGCUCAACCACGGGACGCACGGGAAACUGGGGAACUGGAGUGCAGGAGAGGAAAGCGGAAUUCCACGUGUAGCGGUGAAAUGCGUAGAGAUGUGGAGGAACACCAGUGGCGAAGGCGGCUUUCUGGCCUGUAACUGACGCUGAGGCGCGAAAGCGUGGGGAGCAAACAGG